GACGAACGCUGGCGGUGUGCCUAACACAUGCAAGUCGAACGGUAAGGCCCUUUCGGGGGUACACGAGUGGCGGACGGGUGAGUAACACGUGAGUAACCUGCCCUCAUCUCUGGGAUAACAGUCGGAAACGGUUGCUAAUACUGGAUAUGAGCUUGCAAGGCAUCUUGUGGGUUGGAAAGAUUUUUUGGUUGGGGAUGGACUCGCGGCCUAUCAGCUUGUUGGUGAGGUAGUGGCUCACCAAGGCUUCGACGGGUAGCCGGCCUGAGAGGGCGACCGGCCACAUUGGGACUGAGAUACGGCCCAGACUCCUACGGGAGGCAGCAGUGGGGAAUAUUGCACAAUGGGACGGAAGUCUGAUGCAGCCAACCGCCCGGCGUGCGGGGAUGAACGGGCCCUUUCCGGGGUUGUAAAACCCGCUUUUCAAAU
rnacentral:rRNA from 2 species